UACGGGGGGGGGCAAGCGUUGUUCGGAAUUACUGGGCGUAAAGGGCCAGUAGGCGGCCAACUAAGUCGGACGUGAAAUCCCCGGGCUCAACCCGGGAACUGCGUCCGAUACUGGAAGGCUUGAAUCCGGGAGAGGGAUGCGGAAUUCCACGUGUAGCAGUGAAAUGCGUAGAGAUGUGGAGGAACACCGAUGGCGAAGGCAGCCCCCUGGGUCAAGAUUGACGCUCAUGCACGAAAGCGUGGGGAGCAAACAGG
rnacentral:rRNA from 1 species